UAAACGACUCUCGGCAACGGAUAUCUCGGCUCUCGCAUCGAUGAAGAACGUAGCGAAAUGCGAUACUUGGUGUGAAUUGCAGAAUCCCGUGAACCAUCGAGUUUUUGAACGCAAGUUGCGCCCGAAGCCUUGGCUGAGGGCACGUCUGCCUGGGCGUCACGC
rnacentral:rRNA from 1 species